rnacentral:rRNA from 1 species
UACGGAGGGGGCUAGCGUUGUUCGGAAAUACUGGGCGUAAAGAGCUCGUAGGCGGCUUGGCAAGUCGGGUGUGAAACCUCCAGCUCAACCUGGAGACGCCACUCGAUACUGCCAUGGCUAGAGUCCGGUAGGGGACCACGGAAUUCCUGGUGUAGCGGUGAAAUGCGCAGAUAUCAGGAGGAACACCGGUGGCGAAGGCGGUGGUCUGGGCCGGCACUGACGCUGAGGAGCGAAAGCGUGGGUAGCAACAGG